UUACUUGCUCCAAUCAAUUUCUUCAGGUAAAAUUUGACAUUUGAAGAAUAUUAAACCAAUGGUUCCUAGUGAAUUAUCUUCGUCUAAAUAUAAAAGAAUAGAAUUUCUUUAUUUUCUCUCUUGUUAUUUUUUGUUCUCUCAUUUAUACCUUUUCCUUUAGAUACUUCAAGCUGUGUAUUAAUAUUUGAAACCAUUUAUCCAGAGGGAGAAAAAAAAACCAACAAGGAGAAGGUGAAAUUACCAGUUACCAUAUGAAUACUUUGUACAAUGUAACCCAACACACAAAACAAAUUAAUACAAAAGGAUAAAAAGAAAAGGAGAAGGAGCAAGAGCAAAAAAGAAUUGAAAAAGAAGAAAGAAAAGACCAAAGAGGAGUAAAAGUGAAUUAAAAGUUACUGUAGCAUUUAUUACACGGUUUUCGAUGAUAAAUUACUUUGCUAUAUGGAUCAUGAUAAUGGUGAUGGUUGUGUGGCGGUGACGGUAUGGAAACCGUAUCAACAUAAAUGACUGAGAAACAAUUAGUUUAAUUAACUUAAAUGAAGCUAAUCAUAGAGGAAAAAGAAAAGGAUAACAAUUACCAAGACAAGAAACAAGGAUGAUGUUAUAAAGCCAUUGGAGAGAAAACCAAAGCCAAAGUGAAAAUUAAUGUAAAAGGUAACAUAUAACAAAGGAGGAGAAAAAUUCAUAUGGAAAAUUGAACCGAAACAAAAGCCUCAAACACUUUGGUGGAUCCAAUCGAUUGAUAAUCAAUUGUCUUGAAUCAAUAAUAUAUUUACUCUUAUGUACAGCCUCGAAAAUUAAGAUCGACUACACUUUUAAAUGAGAAUACGCAUAGAAUUGAUAUCUUAUCAAUUAUGUAAUGAAUUCACAUUGAAAAUCGAGAUAAUGAUAAUAGUUUGAUCGUUAUCUCAAUAAAAGUUUAUUUACAAUAAACUAAAAAUUGAAAUGAAAUAUGGAA